AUUGAACGCUGGCGGCAUGCUUUACACAUGCAAGUCGAACGGCAGCGCGGACUUCGGUCUGGCGGCGAGUGGCGAACGGGUGAGUGAUAUAUCGGAACGUACCCAAGAGUGGGGGAUAACGUAGCGAAAGUUACGCUAAUACCGCAUACGAUCUAAGGAUGAAAGCAGGGGAUCGCAAGACCUUGUGCUCCUGGAGCGGCCGAUAUCUGAUUAGCUAGUUGGUGAGGUAAAGGCUCACCAAGGCAACGAUCAGUAGCUGGUCUGAGAGGACGACCAGCCACACUGGAACUGAGACACGGUCCAGACUCCUACGGGAGGCAGCAGUGGGGAAUUUUGGACAAUGGGGGGCAACCCUGAUCCAGCAAUGCCGCGUGAGUGAAGAAGGCCUCGGUGUAAGCCUUUGUCAGGAGAAAAGGACGUGUGGGCUAAUAUCCAUAGCUGCU
rnacentral:rRNA from 1 species